CAUCUCUGCAACGAGAAGGGGGACUCGGUGUGUGCUUAAAACGGUGGUGCAGAAUAUCAGCUAUAGGCUGGGGGUGUUAAGAGACACAACAUUUCUCGCGUCUUGGUUUGGAGGUGUCGUUUUGUUUGAGCGUCAGUGUCGUGCACAGACUCUGUAACGAACACGGACCUGAGGGGGAAGGAGGCACCUCUGCUGUUUUACAUUCAUUCAUGGUCUGGAUCGCGGCGGGUGGGGGGUGGGUGUUCCAGUAUUUAAGGAUAUGCAAAAAAAAACAAAAAACAACAACAAAAAACCCCAAAACAGAAACAGUUCCUCUAUGUCCAAGAGAGUGGUGCGUGUCGCUGUAAUACUAACCGGCACACAAAGAGAUUUUCUACUCUUACUUUUAAUUUGACUUUGAUUACAUAAACACUACCUUUGUGUUAAUGUGGGAUGUACUUGGCAAGAAAAUAAGAAUCCCAAAAAACUACAGACAUGCAUGAAAAAGGAAGGUGUCGGUUGCACAGCGUCAAUAAAAUUGAUAGCAAAAAGAGUAAAAACUGACCUGAAAGAGACUCAGAGAGGACACACAAACUAAAUGAACAUAAACAACAAAGGGGCAAUAAGGCAUAAGUGUGCAGGCGGGAAAGAAAGAGAGUACCUCACAAAGAAUUAGGCUUUGAAGUAAAGCAGGAAGUAACAUUAAAGAAAGACCAAGUCAUGCAAAGAGCAGAGAGACAGACACGGGGGACACAACACGAAAAAGGAAAACACUCAGCGAAGCAUGAGGAAAGCAAAAAUUACCAGGAAUAAUUACAAAGACCAUGACAGUGUUGUAGAGUUUGUUUUAUAUUGAAUUUCUCAUUCACCAAAGACUUUCAUCAACAUCUGGUCUAUGAAAUAGAUAGAUUUAUGUUUUUUUGCUUUUUCCAUCUGCAUGGAAACAAAAGUUUAUAUUUCAUCUUUAUUAGACAUCAAAUGCUGAUUGAAACUUUAAUUGAAUAAUACAGGAUUAGUUUAAAGAUUUAUGGAUGUAGUGAAGAAGGGUUGGUGCAGUAGAGGAGGAUUGAUUAUCUGCUGUGGUGACCGCUACACGGAGGAGGAGGAAAAGGAAGAAGAAGAAGACUUGAUGAUGUGUUUACUUUUCACAGCAAGUGAAAAGUAAACACGUCUUCUGCAGGUCUGGGGGACCUUUGAGAAAAUGUGGAGGUACAGUUUAAAGAUUUUAUAAUGCUGUAAGGAAUUUAAGGACUUUGAUAGCAGUUCCAUCCAUCCAUUCUCGUCUUCUUAUCCUUAUCCGGGUCACAGGGGGUUGGAGCCUAUUCUAGCUUGAGAGCAAUUCAUCUUCUGAAAAAUAAUCCAAGUUCUGUUAGAAUUUGACACAUAGAAAUGAUAGACAAGCUCUCUUGGCCUCAGGAGCCUUGAUUUUGACAUGUUUUUUUGUAAAGUCGUGUCUUGCUAUUUACCAAUGGUUUGAAUUGCAGGAGCACCCAAGAAAAUAUUCAGACAAUUUUUAUUUUUUACUCUGAGAGCGCUGUUUUAUUGGCUAGGUGCACCGAUUUUAGGUAUUUUCAUAGUUUUUAUGUCACGAUCUGCAGGUACAGAUCAUGUAUUCGAAGUGAGGACCCAAAUGCAGACGCUUGGACUCAAGUUACCAGAAGCAAGCCGUUUAUUAAGGCUGCAGAAAAAUACAAAACAAAGUUUCUCUGAACAUUACACGGUCUGACCUUAGGAUAGAUUCGCUGGGACAUCUACUCCUUAGAAGACUGGCAGCCAUCUUGAAUGUUUCUUACUUGUCAGUGAUCCUUCAUGCUGAAGAAUGAACUGCAGAUUAUUUGGAAAUGGCCUUACAACACUUCUCAUACUGACAGGUGGCAGCAGUUGCUUUUUUAAACCCAUUGCAGAUGUCUUUCCUCCCUGUCAUCAUGUUAACACACACCUGAAAACCUCCAGACAAGAAAACUGCAAAAAAACUUCUGCUUUCAUAGUGGUGCUCACACUCACUGAUGAUCAGUUAAUCAAGUGUAUUUGAUUAGCAGCACCUGGCUGCUAUUUAUGCUUUUCGUUUUGAAGCAGUAAGGAUGUAUUUGACUUUUCAAACAAUGUUUCUGCAUUUUGUCUUAUUUUUUACUAAAAACAUAAUGACAUGGUGCAUAUGAUGUAUUUUGUAGUUCAUCUGAGGUUGUGUUUAAAUAAUUUUUAGACAUCCUGAGAUGCACAUUAUUCUUUAUUAUGUCCUGAUUAUGUCCUUGUACUUUAUUUGUUACCACGAUUCUGCACCUUCACACUCAUCAAACCAUUCAGUGAACUUUUUUGUCCUGUGGAUGGAGCUUGAUUACUCCCAUCACGUAUCAGAAUGAUCUCUCAGAGAAAUGUAAUGGCAGUGACUGUACCAAAACUGUGCUGGCAACAUGCCCCCAUAGCAAUACAAAAACCCAACAGAUUAUCUCACUGAAGGUCUUAGGCAUGUGUGCAUUUCCCUUUAAUUCAUCGCCCAUCUGUAUCCACUUGUUUCCCCAACUUGUAAUAAGAAGUCACAUGUAUCAUUUUAUAUAUUUAGAACAUUUGUAUAUGAAAUUUUAACAUUCUGUUCAGCACACAUUAAAUGUAACCCUACCUCUGUCUACCGAGUGAGCUUGAAGCCUGGCAGACUUUAUAUGAUUUUUAUUGAGCUUGCUUCAGUCCAUAAUGCCACUUGAGCCCUUUUUGU